rnacentral:tRNA from 1 species
GGGGCUGUAGCUCAGUGGUAAAGUGCUUGCCUUGCAUGUAUGAGGCACUGGGUUCGAUCCUCAGCACUA